GCGGCCUAUCAGCUUGUUGGUGAGGUAAUGGCUCACCAAGGCAACGACGGGUAGCCGGCCUGAGAGGGCGACCGGCCACACUGGGACUGAGACACGGCCCAGACUCCUACGGGAGGCAGCAGUGGGGAAUAUUGGGCAAUGGACGCAAGUCUGACCCAGCGACGCCGCGUGCGGGAUGAAGGCCUUCGGGUUGUAAACCGCUUUCAGCAAGGAAGAAGCGAAAGUGACGGUACUUGCAGAAGAAGCACCGGCUAACUAUGUGCCAGCAGCCGCGGUAAUACAUAGGGUGCAAGCGUUGUCCGGAAUUAUUGGGCGUAAAGAGCUCGUAGGUGGUUCGUCACGUCGGAUGUGAAAAUCUGGGGCUUAACCCCAGACCUGCAUUCGAUACGGGCGAGCUAGAGUGUGGUAGGGGAGACUGGAAUUCCU
rnacentral:rRNA from 1 species